rnacentral:rRNA from 1 species
AAAAAGCUCGUAGUUGGACUUCAGAGUGAGCUCAGACGGUCGGCCUAAGGGUCAGAACUGGUUGACUCUCUCUUGUUUGUGGGAGCCGCCCGGAGUUAACUCUUCGGAUGUGCUCUCCACAUCGUUUACCUUGAAAAAAUUAGAGUGUUCAAAGCAGGCGUUUGCUUGAAUAUAUUAGCAUGGAAUAAUGGAAUAGGACCCUGGUUCUAUUUUGUUGGUUUUGAGGACCAGAGUAAUGAUUAAUAGGGAUAGUUGGGGGCAUUCAUAUUUCAUUGUCAGAGGUGAAAUUCUUGGAUUUAUGAAAGAUGAACUUCUGCGAAAGCAUUUGCCAAGGAUGUUUUCAUUAAUCAAGAACGAAAGUUAGGGGAUCGAAGACGAUCAGAUACCGUCGUAGUCUUAACCAUAAACUAUGCCGACUAGGGAUUGGG